rnacentral:lncRNA from 1 species
ACCAAUCAGAAUUUCAAACUAAUUUAUGGGAUCAGAAUUCUAAACUAACUUAUGUGAUGUGCACAGAAAUUUAGAGUUCAAAUCUUAGCAAAAUUCCACUUCCCACGUGAUUACCCUACACCAUGGUUUAGUAUAAAUAUAGCACUAAACCUCAAGCAUUCAGUCAUUAAUUCAUCAUUCUUCUUCUGCACGUCUUUAUUCUCUUCUCCUCUUUAAAAUAUUUCUCCAUAUUAUUAAGCCUUUUUAAGGCCUUGGAAUCGCAAUAAA